rnacentral:rRNA from 1 species
AUUGAACGCUGGCGGCAGGCCUAACACAUGCAAGUCGAACGAGUGGCGGACGGGUGUGAUAUGUCUGGGACACUGCCUGAUGGAGGGGGAUAACUUCUGGAAACGGUAGCUAAUACCGCAUACUAUCAGAUGUGCCCAGAUGGGUUUAGCUAGUUGGGGGGGUAACGGCGCACCAAGGCGACGAUCCCUAGCUGGUCUGAGAGGAUGACCAGCCACACGGGAACUGAGACACGGUCCAGACUCCUACGGGAGGCAGCAGUGGGGAAUAUUGCACAAUGGGCGCAAGCCUGAGGCAGCCAUGCCGCGUGUAUGAAGAAGGCCUUCGGGUUGUAAAGUACUUUCAGCGGGGAGGCGUUACCCGCAGAAGAAGCACCGGCUAACUCCGUGCCAGCAGCCGCGGUAAUAC